rnacentral:rRNA from 1 species
AGUGAACGCUGGCGGUAGGCCUAACACAUGCAAGUCGAACGGCAGCACAGUAAGAGCUUGCUCUUACGGGUGGCGAGUGGCGGACGGGUGAGGAAUACAUCGGAAUCUACUUUUUCGUGGGGGAUAACGUAGGGAAACUUAAGCUAAUACCGCAUACGACCUACGGGUGAAAGCAGGGGAUCUUCGGACCUUUCGCGAUUGAAUGAGCCGAUGUCGGAUUAGCUAGUUGGCGGGGUAAAGGCCCACCAAGGCGACGAUCCGUAGCUGGUCUGAGAGGAUGAUCAGCCACACUGGAACUGAGACACGGUCCAGACUCCUACGGGAGGCAGCAGUGGGGAAUAUUGGGCAAUGGGCGCGAGCCUGAUCCAGCCAUACCGCGUGGGUGAAGAAGGCCUUCGGGUUGUAAAGCCCUUUUGUUGGGAAAGAAAAGCAGCAGGUUAAUACCCCGCUGUUCUGACGGUACCCAAAGAAUAAGCACCGGCUAACUUCGUG